AGUAUAAAUAUAAACCACAGCUGUAACUGAGGGAAGGCCCAUUGUUACUAAUCUCAGGAGAGGCCGUUUAUCCAUACCUGAAGCUACAGGAGAGCGAGGCAGGUCUUCCCCUGGGCUCCUAUUGCCAUUAGGCAGAUUUUCUUCUGGUGUUCACUAACGGUGUGAUCUCCUUCUGGACUCCAGCAGAGGUUUCAGUUUAGGUGCACGAUUUGCUCUUAUUCUGGGCCAAGGCAUCAUCUCUGUUACCUAAGUUCUACAAGAGACCAAAUAAAAGGAAGCUCAUAGCAGCAGCCAGAAACAAGUCCCGAGAAACCAAAGCUAUGAUAACUGGAAACAUCUGUGUCAAUUUUUCAGCGACCACGAAAACAGACCAGGAGUUUGCAGGGAGCAUGAGCUGUGCUUGUUACCAGCCUGCCACACACUUGGCACAGCUGGUGUUUGCAAGCCUACGCCUGACCACUUACUUGUCCUGAAGUUGAACCACCACAACCUCACUUUGGCUCAUGGUGAUUGUAGACAUCCAGCCAUUAUCUUCAUGGGAUUCCUGUCAAUGAAUAUACUGGCUGCAGUGGUGAGGAAACUUCAAUGAUCAAUUAAUUCCACCUCAACUCCUGUUCAUCUAGCUGGAUCUUUAGGGAAUAGGGCACAUGUUGAGACAG
rnacentral:lncRNA from 1 species